rnacentral:lncRNA from 1 species
UGAGACAGAGCUAAAAUACAGUCUGAAAACAUCUGACAAGCCUUAACAACGGCUAACAGCACCAAUUCCUGUUCUACUUCUUCAACAUGCUUGUUAACAGCCAGAUCCACCUGCCGCCAGCCCAAACAUCGUCUGACAGCCCCAUCACUGUUAGAGAAUCUGUUAGGCUAACAUUCCCUAACAGGCACGCCUGUUAGCCGCUGUUAGACCCCCUAUGAGUUGGUAGGGUUGUUCGGAUCUCCCAAGUUAAAGUCAAACAUACACGUGGUUCCUCCAGCAGAAGCAUGGAUGACGUGGAAGAGUCCAUGGGCAAUGCAGUUCCCACAGCACAAUUUGUGCUCAACGAGCUCAUCGGCAGCCCACCCCAUGGCCUUUUGCCAGUCGUGUUGGAGGAUAUUGCUGAAGAAGUCAGACAGCAGUCUCAAGAGAGUGAAAAGCGAAGCUUGCACCCAUCAGAAGCGCGGGCACUAUUGGACAAACUUAUGGCCAUCGAGGAAUGGGAGCAAUGGGAGUCUGGUUGCGUUGGUCAAAAGAUGAUGACACAGAUGAAGUUUCAUCAGACGAGGCGUAGCAAAGACGUCCUAGAUAAUAACGACCGGGUAGAGGAGGAUUGAUCAAUUGGGGCUCAUGGGAGUAGGAAAUGAAUGUUUGUGUUGUGCUGAUAGUGUCGGAGAAUUUAUUCUGUUAAGUGUUUUGGUUGUGUUUUGGAGUUGCAGCAUUAAUAGGCCAGAUAACAUGUGGAUUAUUCAUUUAGUAAAGCAGACUGAGGGAUUGUGGGCUGAGAGCUGAGAUUCCUUGUGUGAUGUGUGAUAGUAACGUAUGAAGAAUAUGUGAAAAUUGUAAUCCCCUGAGCUUCUAUGCAUCCCAUAUAUUUCUGUACACAAAUGACACAUGUAAACAACAUCCUGGCAAGUAUACAGCAUAGCCUAAACAAGGUCAGGUAUAGGCUGUCAUGUAAACAUGAAGGCCUAUUAUGUGAUGCCUAUAGCAGUCUUGUAAUAGGCACUCGUGUACACACGCACCUGUAUAGGCACUGUUGUUUACAACAUCACAUGUAGACACAUCUGUAUACCAGUCAUGUUUACCACAUAGCCUAAACAAGAUCAGGUAUAGGCUGUCAUGUAAAGGGCAUCACAUAUUACGUUAUGCCUAUAGCGGUCUUGUAAUAGGCGCUCAUGUACACAUGCACCUGUAUAGGCACUGUUGGUUACAACAUCACGUGUAGACGCAUGCAUAUACCUGGCAAGUAUACACUACAACCUAAACAAAGUCAGGUAUAGGCUGUCAUGUAACGGGCAUCACAUAUAACGUGAUGUCUACAGCGGUCUUGUAAUAGGCGGUCAUGUACACACGCACUUGUAUAGGCACUGUUGUUUACAACAUUACGUGUAGACGCAUGCAUAUACCUGGCAAGUAUACACCACAGCCUAAACAAGGUCAGGUAUAGGCUGUCAUGUAAAGGGCAUUGCAUAUUACGUGAUGCCUAUAGCGGUCUUGUAAUAGGCGCUCAUGUACACACGCACCUGUAUAGGCACUGUUGUUUACAACAUCACGUGUACACAUAUCUGUAUAGCUUGGAAGUAUACCGCAUAGCAUAAAGAAGGUCAGGUAUUCUACAUAUAUACAGGGUCCUCUAUUAGGCAAACAUGUACAUAUGUCCCUCUUAAGGUCUGGGCCUUUAUUUCUCGUAUAAGACGUGUACACCUAACUGGCCUAUAUACCUUUCACCUAUUUUCCCGAAUAUCUCGCCUAUACAAUGCCCGAAAAAAUACAGACGCGGCCGCCCCUUGGGAAAGUGUUACCAUGGACUUUAUUGUAGCUUUGCCCAAAACUGAGGGGGGAUUCGAUGCCGUUUUGGUCAUGGUAGACCGACUCACGAAAAUGGUGCACCUGGCACCUACGGUAUCAUCCUGCACAGCUGAGCAAACUGCACGUCUGUUCUUUGACAACAUAGUGCGUUUGCAUGGUGUCCCCAAGAACGUUGUGACCGACCGCGGAUCGCAAUUUGCCAGCAGAUUUUGGGGCACCCUGGGUGAUCUGUUAGGCAUGCGUGUUAACCUGAGCACCGCCUAUCACCCACAGACUGAUGGACAGACAGAACGUACGAAUCGCACUCUUGGCGAUAUGUUGCGCAAUUAUGCCGGACGUACGCCUUCUGUCUGGGACACAUAUCUAACUGCUGCUGAAUUCGCGAUUAAUAAUGCUGUAAAUCGCGCGACUGGCAAAAGUCCGUUUUUCCUGAAUUACGGAUACAACCCUGCCUUGCCUGUUUGGCGGGAGUUGGACGUUAACUUGCCUGCAGCAAAGACGUUUGCCAAGUCCUUUGUGUCCCGACUGACUGACGCUAAAUCUUGCCUUGAAGCUGCACAGCAACGUACGGCGGACUACUUUAACAAAUCCCGACGUGCCAUCACCUUCUCGCAGGGCCAGUUGGUGAUGCUGAGCACUAAGAACCUGAGGUCCCUAGCGGAUGGUUCUCGUAAGCUUUUACCUCGUUGGGUGGGACCAUUUCCUGUCGUUCGCAUGGUUGGGUCUACUGCAGUCGAGCUGCAACUACCACCUGACAUGCGCAUCCAUCCCACAUUCCAUGUCUCUCUAGUCCGACCUUUCCGUACUACUGACUCUGCUGCUGCGCUUCAGCCAAAACCUGCUCCUACUGUCACGGAGCCAGGACCAGUUACUUGGCUUUCAGGCAAGCAGACAUUUUACGCGGUUGAACGGAUACUGGAUUACCGUUCCCGAAAAGUAGGCAGAAACCGCCGCCGUAAGCGCACUGUGCACGAGUAUCUUGUCAAAUGGGCUGGGUACUCGGCUGAGCACAACAGUUGGGAACCAGAAGCUAACUUUACCCCUGACCUAAAACCUCUGCUGGAAGAAGCACGGCAACGAGCACGGGCAAGGUAAGAUUUGCGGGUUAAAGGUAAGUGUUUAACUCCCGCUUUUUGGCCCGAUUUUUGCUCUGCCAGUUUCUUGCCAUGCAUCGAGGACGCUGCAUCUAGAGGGGGGAUAGUUGUUGUAUUCCGUUUCUUAAAUCUGGGCCCAAACUGAUACAUUUUUCUGUCUAAUUUUUCCUUUCUCGCUUGGCGCGGUUACUGGACAAGUUCGCUGGAACUAACUGAAUUCCAACUGCCUAUUUUGCCGCUUUUCUGUCAGAUCUUUAUGGCUCCGACCUCUGGGUCAGACGGCGAGCGGGACGCUGUCAUGGAUCCCUACAAGUAAACGCCGCCUCAGGCGGAAGUCCAUACUUGCAGAAGUAUGGGCGGGGGUCGUAGCACAGGCUACGACUGGGACGCUGGUCCCUGGCUCGCGGAGCCCCGUCAUCGAUUGGAAGCAUGGAUCAACGGUACGCCAUUCCGGACUGGACCGCGCCUUUUCGGAAUUGGCUGUACGAUUCAUGGGAUGGCCGCAUCCUCCGCUAUUUAAGCGGGCGAAACUCUUCCAAAUCGGUGUCUUCCGACGCCACCAUCCAGUUGUGGUUUAGUAAGAUACAACAGGAAGGUCCCACGUGUUUCAGGUGGUGUACAACAGUGGAGGCAUUGAGGUGGUUAGUGUGAGCAAGUUGCACAAUCGUGUAGCCCCCACACGCCCCUCUGCCAAGAAAGUGAUGGCGGGCAUCUCUGAGGCCAAUGAGCAUCUGUGCUCAGGCCCGUUCGAGCUUCACACAACCAAGGGGAUCAGCCAGGCGUUGGCCCUUGUGACGCCUGGAGAGCACAGUCCAAGCAAAGCGAAGGCCUUGGAGGCCGCCGGAUGUACAGGUAUCAUCAGGAAGGAGCCUGUGAGGGCUGAGGAUGUUCACGUCCUAACGCAAGCCGUCACAGUUGGUUGUGUGGGAUCAGUGUUUAUCCCCUGGAAGUGGGAUGAGGAGGCAAUGCAGCAGUUGCAGGAGGGUGCCUGCACCGUUCGGUAUAUGCCCGAUAAGGCAACCCUCUACCCCGCCCAGCCGCAGAGUUUUGCAAGGGCUCGGUCUGAUGGAGUCGCCAUGCCAAUCAUAGGUUUGGACACCUCCGAGGAGGUAAUGAAUGUGGUGCUGCCGGUGGCAUGUCAGCACGCUGAGGUGGCUGUCAUCGCUUUAUAUCACAGAGGCGGAUCCGGCAUGUUUGCAUUGGCUCCGUGCUGUGCAACGGGACGACCAUUUGUGUGUUUCGCAAGUAGGAACUAAGUUUUGGUUGGUUGUGUUCAGCAAUCCUUUGUGGAAGCGCACCCUGGUUAAGGACACAACGUGCGCCGUUCAGUUACUUUAGUGCUUUUUGGGUGGUCUGCCGCCAGCUCACCUAGCGCAAUCCGUGCAUGAGCUGGGCGGGAAGUGAGCCAGCCGCAUUUCUUGUGUCUGUUAGCAUGUCAUAUGGCGUGACAUCCAGGCCUAGUUGUUGGCCUCACGGUAGCUGGUCUCCACCCGGCCUACCUACUGAAUGAAGAAAUUUUUAUUUAACUGUUGCAGUUACCCUCUGCAACGUGAUUCUUUCUCAUGAAAACUGCGGUUUUAAAAUUUUUUAUCCUUUUUAUCGGUCACUUUCCUUGUUAUCUCCUCCCUGACCCCUUCCAGGUGGAUCUGCUGCUUGAGUUCAUUCGUGUCACGUUGCAAGAGGAGGAAGAUGAGGGGCAGUCAGCAAGGGCACGGGGAGAAGGAGUGAGGCAUAGUGGAGCGUCAUCCUCACCCAGAUCUUCCUUCUUUGGUGAUUACCCUGUAUAUUCUGCCACUGCUUCUGUGGCCCAUGAUGAGGGUCUGUGCUACUUCACUCUUCAGCACUACCUCGAGUGCCUGGAGGCACUGCGGGAGUACCUGGGGCUGGUGGAGCAGGUGACAGGAGGGAGGAGGAAGGGAAAUGAGACAAAAAAGUGGAUUCUAUAUGAAUGCUAAGAUGAAAAGCCUUUCAUCUUCCCUAGGCAAAGGGGACUAUGGAGAUGGUGGAGGAGAAGACAAGGGAAGAGAUCAUAGGCGCAGCCGGGGUACAGUGCUCAAUGAAUGGAAUGAACUGUGAGGGGUUGAGAAGAUGGACUGGGGAUUGGGGAAGGCGUGUGGGAUACCGCUUCCCCGAGGAGGCCCAGACGGUUUUGGCUGUGAUGGAGGCGCGGCGAUGGAUGGUGCAGCAGCCGGAAUAGCAUGCCUUCGCGCGCGUAAUUGAUCGAAGCGCAACUUACAGUAGCAACAACGAUAGUUCAGACAAUGAAGGCAUAGAAUGGCUCAGGGAUGGGCCGAGCCGUACCAGCAACGCCUCCUUGCAGCGUGCUUUGUACAAGGAAAUCUAAAGGGUUGUUGCAAUCAAAGGGGACAAAUGUUUUCUCCUUUCUUUGUUUUCGUAAGGGUUUUGGGUUACCUCUUUGCCGAUACGGUAGUAGAUGUGCAUAACUGUGAGGAGGGUUACGGGUGCUGUUGCGUUGUCAACUAAAUUUUUCUAGUCAUAUCUUGCCAUCAUGAAUGAUAAUUGCUGAUACUGCAAGUUGCAAUGCAUUUUCAGUCAGAGCGUGACUCACCGCUUUGUUUCCGAUAAUCAGCAGCAAUUGUAUGCAAAGACAUUUAGUUUGCAGUAAUGACUGAUCCUCAUGGUCAUAACUCUG